GUUGGAGGGGAGUGGAGUGGCCUCAACAGAGAGGCCCCUCUUCCUCCCUCAAUUCCAGGGUGUGCCUGAGAGAGAGCUUCUGUGCUUCGCUCCAAAAAAAAGAUGGUGAAAUUGAGGUUCAUUUCAGGAAUUAUGGAACUUGCUGGAAGUCGUGCAGCUACUAAGUGAUAGAGACAUUAGUCUGAGGAGUCUUGUGGCCAUUUUGAAAUGUUAGAGUCCUAGGGAAAGAAAAAUCAUGGAAUUUCCAUAUUCAUGGAAAAACAGGACCUUCUCAGAUGACUAAAAGAAAUCAAAAUUCCAUUCACAAAAGAAAAAAGUUACGUGAAAUGUCUCUUUAGGAUAAAUUCCCAGAAAUGGAAUUGCUCUGGAUGCCCUGCACUGCUGAUUUGAUACAGAUUGCCAAAUGGCCUGAAGAGUUACUUUUCAAAUUUUAGGUCCCAGAUGUCCAGUUAUGGUGGAGCCCUCCCUACCUUUAAGCUCACUGUGAGCUCCCCAGAUUCUGCAAGAAAGGCCAGGGUAGAGAAAAUAUCCAGCGAAAAACACAACUAACCUGUGCCUGGUUCUGGAAGGUUCUUCACACACAUUAUCUUGUGCAAGCCACAGAUCAUUCUUAAGAAGCUGGUAUCAUCUGAUCUACUUUAUAUAUGAAGACUCGGAAGCUCAGAAACUGGAUAAAUUCCUCAAAGAGAGAAGUUUGCUAUUGAAACUUGACUUUAUGGGGCCACAAAAUGCCCUGGGCACUUGGAGGAUGAGUAGUAAAAGUAGGGUGAAGAGGCCAAGCUUUGUCUACUUUGAAUGCUUACCCUCAAUGCCACUGCUUCUUUGUCCUGUUCCUAACACUCUACAGAAACCAGUGCUAUGGAUGGGUACGGAGCCAACCCUCCCUCCAUAAAUGUCAGCACCUGCCUGGGGCUCCUAACAUUGGCCUUUAUCUUCCCCACAGGGCUGACUUUUUUACGAGUUGAAGUCUGAGAAACAAGUCAGUUUCCCACUUCUCUAAAAUCUUAAAAUAGGAAACAUCAGCCAUAAGCUAUGAGAGCAAGCCAGCCAAGGUGUAUGUUUGCUGGAAAUAAAACUGGUAAAAUAUUCUCCACUAGUGAUAAACUCUUGGAUGUGGAAAAUUGUCUGUACAGUUCCAAUGAUCGCAAGAGAUACAAGAAUUGCAGUCAGUGCCUUAUCGACUCCAAUGGCUCCAUUUAGUUUUACAAAUGUUGUUUAUUCAAAUCCUACUUCAACAAACUUCAUCUUUGCAAGGUCAAUAUUCUACCAUGUUCCAUUAAAUCUAAGAUGGCAUCAAUUUUAAGAUACUCUAUUAUCAUAUGUAGCACUAAGAAAGAAAGAACUGCGAUUAGACUGUAAACUACAUAGGCCUUUUAUGCAUCCCUUCACAUGCAACAGCUCUGUGCAGUCUUUGGUCCACUUGUAUCUUGCUUUAUGCCCCAGAAUUUCUCUGACACCACAGUAUGGGAUGCCUACACUUUGUACUGGCAUACCUGCAACAAAAGACUUGGACAAGUCAUGCCCUAUGGGGCCACUGCAACCAACUGCCCACAAUAUCCUCAGGCAGAUGCUGCAGAGCCAAAUUUUAUAAGGCUCUCCACAAAAGGUCCAAGAUGAAUUGCUAGUUGCCUACAGUCAUGGCCAUUCAAUAGUACUGACUUGCAUUGACAUCCCCUCCUUCCCUGUUCACACACUCACUGUUGGCCCCAAAUUAAACUACCUGCAUGAAGGUGCUACAAACAGUCUCAGGCAGGCCC